rnacentral:rRNA from 1 species
GUCUACAGCCAUGACACCCUGAACAAGCCCGAUCCUGUCUGAUCUCAAAAGCUAAGCUGAGUCGGGCCUGGUUAGUACUUGGAUAGGAGACCACCUAGGAAGACUAGGUGUUGUAGGUG